rnacentral:rRNA from 1 species
AUGCACCAGCACCAGCACCAACCGGCGGCGGCCAUGGGCGACGCGCUGUGGGAGUUGAUCGGGGAGGAGAUGGCGGCGGCCGAGGCGGCCGCCGGGGAGCACGGCCUCCCCCCGGGCUUCCGCUUCCACCCCACCGACGAGGAGCUUGUGACCUUCUACCUCGCCGCCAAGGUCUUCAACGGCGCGUGCUGCGGCGGCGUGGACAUCGCGGAGGUGGACCUGAACCGGUGCGAGCCGUGGGACCUCCCGGAGGCGGCGAGGAUGGGGGAGCGGGAGUGGUACUUCUUCAGCCUCCGCGACCGCAAAUACCCCACGGGCCUCCGCACCAACCGCGCCACCGGCGCCGGCUACUGGAAGGCCACCGGCAAGGACCGCGAGGUGCUCAACGCCGCCACGGGCUCCCUCCUCGGCAUGAAGAAGACGCUGGUCUUCUACAGGGGCCGCGCCCCCCGCGGCGAGAAGACCAAGUGGGUCCUCCACGAGUACCGCCUCGACGGCGACUUCGGCGCCGCCCGCCGCUCCUGCAAGGAGGAAUGGGUGGUGUGCAGGAUCUUCCACAAGGCGGUAGACCCGUACAGCAAGAUGAUGGAGAUGAGAAACCCCUACUGCUACUUCCCCAUGAGCCCCCACCACCCCAGCUUCUUCCAGGACGCACCUCCUGCCCCCUUGCCAAACCCUAGUCAGCUCAUCUUCCACCAUGACCUCCCAAACCUGCAGUCCUCCCCAUUAAUGCAGAGCCAGGGCCAGGCCAAGAACACAAGCAGCAACAAUGGCGGCUUCCCAGCAGCAGCUUGCGUCCAGGAGCAGCCAAACAGCAGCUGCAACCAAGCAUAUUUCCCUUUCCCUCCCUUCGCCUCCAUCGUCAAUGGCAAGGCAGGCCCACCGGCGCAGCCCAGGGUCAACGGCGGUCCACAGGAGCCACCGCCGACCUGGCUGGACGCUUGCCUGCAGCACAGCACCUUCAUGUACGAGAUGGGCCCACCUGCAGCCACCAGGGGUGCAUGA